UACGUAGGGGGCAAGCGUUGUCCGGAUUUACUGGGCGUAAAGAGCGUGUAGGCGGCCAAGCAGGUCCGUUGUGAAAACUGGAGGCUUAACCUCCAGACGUCGACGGAACCCGCGUGGCUAGAGUCCGGAAGAGGAGAGUGGAAUUCCUGGUGUAGCGGUGAAAUGCGCAGAUAUCAGGAAGAACACCAAAGGCGAAGGCAGCUCUCUGGGACGGUACUGACGCUGAGACGCGAAAGCGUGGGGAGCGAACAGG
rnacentral:rRNA from 1 species